UACGUAGGGUGCGAGCGUUAAUCGGAAUUACUGGGCGUAAGGCGUGCGCAGGCGGUGAUGUAAGACCGAUGUGAAAUCCCCGGGCUUAACCUGGGAACUGCAUUGGUGACUGCAUUGCUGGAGUAUGGCAGAGGGGGGUGGAAUUCCACGUGUAGCAGUGAAAUGCGUAGAGAUGUGGAGGAACACCGAUGGCGAAGGCAGCCCCCUGGGCCAAUACUGACGCUCAUGCACGAAAGCGUGGGGAGCAAACAGG
rnacentral:rRNA from 1 species